rnacentral:siRNA from 1 species
ACAUUGUCAGGUGGGGAG